rnacentral:rRNA from 1 species
UAUGGCCUACGGGACGCAGCAGUAAGGGAUAUUGGUCAAUGGGGGAAACCCUGAACCAGCAACGCCGCGUGAGGGAAGACGGUUUUCGGAUUGUAAACCUCUGUCCUCUGUGAAGAUGAUGACGGUAGCAGAGGAGGAAGCCCCGGCUAACUACGUGCCAGCAGCCGCGGUAAUACGUAGGGGGCUAGCGUUAUCCGGAAUUACUGGGCGUAAAGGGUGCGUAGGUGGUUUCUUAAGUCAGAGGUGAAAGGCUACGGCUCAACCGUAGUAAGCCUUUGAAACUGGGGAACUUGAGUGCAGGAGAG